AAAAGAAUAAGAAUACAACCCAAAAUGCCAAGAGGAAAACUCUCCAAACUGAAAGGAACAAAAGCCAACCGAAAAAACGGCCACACAACAAAGGAACGAGCUGACCAACAUCACCAUCAAAAUAACUAAAAAAACUCAAAAAAUUAGCCAAAUAAAAACACAAGCCAGGAGACAACAGCACCAAAAUGCAAACAAGAACCCUAAAGACAAGCUGCUUAGCAGUUAAACGAAACCAUCGAGGCACCCAAAGAGAGCCAAGCCAGAAAAUCCAAUACCAAUAAUAUAUAUCAAGGCAGGAAGCUGUUUUCAGGAAAGCAAAUGCAAACUGCAGAGAGGACAGGCUACAUUUCAAUCUGAUAUUCUUCUUGUUUAUCAUCAUCACCACGAUCUUCAGAACCACAGAGGGAGGAAUCUGGGCCACAUGAUCAGGUGAUUGAUUAAGUUUUAUUAUUAUUAAUUCUCACGUACCUAGCUAGCUGCAUGCAUGUGUUAAUUAUUGGUAAUUAGUGUGCCCUUCUUUCCCUACGUAAAAAUAUCAAUUGUUGUUGCUUGCUCCAAGUGGGGGGGUUUCUGUUAGAUGAUAUCGCAAAUGUUCUUAAUUAGUUUACUAUUUUAAGUGGGGGGUUAAGUCAAAUUUUCUAUUUGCUAAAAUAGGCCCUUGUAACUCAAACACCGUAGACGAUAACCCACCAAUAAUGCAAAUGAAUAAUACCUCUCAUUGUACAUUUAAGUUUGCACUAAUGUAAUAAUGGCUUACAAUCAAAUUAGUUCAAAUACUCCCCCCUUACCUCUUACAGGUCGGAUAAGUGAAUUUUUUUUAGGGGAAUGCUAACAACCUUCUCUCUAACCUU
rnacentral:lncRNA from 1 species